UUAAGUUCAGCGGGUAUUCCUACCUGAUCUGAGGUCAACCUUGGUAUAGUUGGGGUUUUACGGCGUGACCGCACCGCUCUCCACCUGCGAGGUGAUAUGUUACUACGCAGAGGAGGCUACGGCGUGGUCGCCACUAUGUUUCGGGGCCGCCCGCCGUCAGACGGCAGGCCGAUCCCCAACACCGCAUCCAGCAAGAAGCC
rnacentral:misc_RNA from 1 species